rnacentral:rRNA from 1 species
AUACGGAGGGGGCUAGCGUUGUUCGGAAUUACUGGGCGUAAAGCGUACGUAGGCGGACUGAUCAGUUGGGGGUGAAAUCCCAGGGCUUAACCCUGGAACUGCCUUCAAUACUGUCAGUCUUGAGUUUGGGAGAGGUGAGUGGAAUUCCUAGUGUAGAGGUGAAAUUCAUAGAUAUUAGGAGGAACACCAGUGGCGAAGGCGGCUCACUGGCCCAUUACUGACGCUGAGGUACGAAAGCGUGGGGAGCAAACAGGAUUAGAUACCCGAGUAGUCC